rnacentral:rRNA from 1 species
GAUGAACGCUAGCGGCAGGCUUAACACAUGCAAGUCGAGGGGUAUAGUUCUUCGGAAUUAGAGACCGGCGCACGGGUGCGUAACGCGUAUGCAAUCUACCUUUCACAGAGGGAUAGCCCCAGAGAAAUUUGGAUUAAUACCUCAUAGUAUAGCAGUUUCGCAUGAAACCACUAUUAAAGUCACAACGGUGAAAGAUGAGCAUGCGUCCCAUUAGCUAGUUGGUAAGGUAACGGCUUACCAAGGCAACGAUGGGUAGGGGUCCUGAGAGGGAGAUCCCCCCACACUGGUACUGAGACACGGACCAGACUCCUACGGGAGGCAGCAGUGAGGAAUAUUGGGACAAUGGGCGCAAGCCUGAUCCAGCCAUGCCGCGUGCAGGAUGACGGUCCUAUGGAUUGUAAACUGCUUUUAANACAGGAAGAAACNCUACUUCGUGAAGUAGCUUGACGGUACUGUAAGAAUAGGAUCGGCUAACUCCGUGCCAGCA